CCUCCUCUAAUAUUGUAUUUUCUUCUACUCUGCCAGCAAAGUGGAGGUGAUGGACAGCAGUGCAUGCUUGAAAUCCUCGACACAGCCGGCACAGAGCAGUUCACUGCCAUGAGAGAUCUGUACAUGAAGAACGGUCAGGGCUUUGCCCUGGUGUACUCCAUCACAGCACAGUCCACGUUCAACGACCUGCAGGACCUGAGGGAACAGAUCCUGAGAGUCAGGACACCGAAGAUGUGCCUAUGAUCCUGGUGGGUAAUAAGUGUGAUCUGGAGGAUGAGCGGGUGGUGGGCAAGGAGCAGGGUCAGAACCUGGCCAGACAGUGGAACCACUGUGCCUUUUUAGAGUCCUCCGCAAAGUCAAAGAUCAACGUCCUCGACAUCUUCUACGACUUGGUCAGACAGAUAAAUAGUAAAACGCCUGUGGAAAAGAAGAAGGCGAAAAAGAAAUCAAACUGUGUCCUGCUCUAAAGGUCCCCUCCACCCUGCAGCAGCUCUGAGCCAGAAUGCUGUAAUGAAGAACUGUUGCCCAGAUUGGACCCGUGCCAGCAUUCUGACAGCCCCGCCUCCCCCAUCAGCCAUAAACAGUGACGACACAAAUAGCCGCCUGCUGAUUCYCUAGUAUCAAGAUAUCAAGGCAGGAUACAAGGAGAGAGAAGACUGGUGUCUAUCUCACUCAGACUUCUCUGAUCUGACAUCAGUGAGCCCUGAAGGACAAUCUUCAUUUCCCACAUGUUGAACCACCAUAAACUCUCUGAAAGUCUCUGAAAUGUCAAUGGUCUGGCCAACCGAGAGCCCCCUCCUUUUUUGAGAGUUUAAAAACGAUUACCAACGAAGGGGAAAAAAGACUUCAGUAUUUUACAUCUUUGCAAUAUAUCGUAUUUGAAGACAUGGAAGUUGACUUUAGUUGUAUGAGUAUAAAUAUCUGCAGACAGCAUGAUCACAUCUGGUAUUAAGUGUAGUAAGAACUUUCAAGUGGAAGUAGCAACUUUUUAUAGCCAUACACCCAUUUCCCCGUGCCAGUCGUGUCAAUGGUGGACCAUAUGUAUUUUGGUUUCGCUUAACUCCAUGGACUUUCUCUUCUGCAAAUAUCUCUGUGACUUAAUUUUAUACUCAGUCACUGGGAUUUCAUAGUUCCCGUAAUAUAUUCUAAUGCCAUUUUUUGCAUAAUAAUGCUUGAGAAAAGGUAUUUUAUAGAAGAAAUAUGGGGGGGAAGGAUUAAUUUCUGUCUCUUGAAGCUGAAAUAUAUACUAAACCAACUUUAAUAAUGCUUCUUGUGUUUUUGUCAAAUGAUGUUCCAGCUUUUAUGGAUUAUUAAAUUUAGUACAUUUUAA